CUUCAGUUUGCUUUUCGUUUGUUCAAUUGUCUCUUGAUACGUGAGAUCCCAUUUCAUCUUGUUACGCGUUUGUGGGAUACAUACCUUGCUGAAGGGGAUGCAUUACCAGAGUUUCUCGUGUACAUAUCUGCCAGUUUUCUGUUAACAGAUUAUUCAAGCACCAUUUUCUGUAUUAUCUUGCAAGAGAGAGCUGUGUUGAAGUUUGUAAAUUGAUAAAUAGGUUUGUCUCUGGAGGUGAUGCUAAUGAUGAUUGUGGGUUUGUUUAUGAUUUGUUAGAUGGCUUGAGCUUGAAUAUGAAGAC